rnacentral:rRNA from 1 species
CAGCCGCCGCGGGAAUACGGAGGGUGCAAGCGUUAAUCGGAAUUACUGGGCGUAAAGCGCACGCAGGCGGUCUGACAAGUCAGAUGUGAAAUCCCCGGGCUUAACCUGGGAACUGCAUUUGAAACUGUCAGGCUGGAGUCUUGUAGAGGGGGGUGGAAUUCCAGGUGUAGCGGUGAAAUGCGUAGAGAUCUGGAGGAAUACCGGUGGCGAAGGCGGCCCCCUGGACAAAGACUGACGCUCAGGUGCGAAAGCGUGGGGAGCAAACAGGAUUAGAUACCCCCGUAGUUCCUGUCUCUUAUAC